rnacentral:sRNA from 1 species
CAGGCCCUGAAGGUCCACGCGAGGUGAGUGCAGGCAGCCUCAGGGCUUUCACAUCAGCACGUGGCUGUGCUACUGGGACAUCCCAGUACCGCUAUCCCAGCUGGGACCCUUCCCUGAGCUGGGGACCAUGGACAGGUUUUGUUUUUCUUCUUCCUGCCUUCCAGCAAACCGGCCUCUGAGGUGAUCAAUGAAUAUUCCUGGAAGGUGGAUUUUCUGAAGGGGAUGCUGCAAGCCGAGAAGCUGACCUCCUCCUCAGAGAAAGCACUGGCCAACCAGUUCCUGGCCCCUGGCCGUGUGCCAACCACAGCCAGAGAGCGAGUGCCCGCCACAAAGACGGUGCAUCUGCAGUCACGGGCGCGGUACACCAGCGAGAUGCGGAGUGAGCUACUAGGCACGGACUCUGCAGGUGAGUCACCAUGAACACAACAGGACUUGAGGGCCAGCUGACUAGGACAAGACAUGUAUCCUUGCUGCCCCGGGGCCUCCAUGCCGAGACUCCAUGCCCUGACUCCAACAGGAGCAUCACCAAAUUACACCUGGAGGAAGAGCCAGGACAGAGGAAAUGGCCCCGAGAGGAAACAAAGCUAGGCACAGUGGCUCACACCUGUAAUUUC